GAUGAACGCUAGCGGCAGGCCUAACACAUGCAAGUCGAGGGAGAAGCCCUUCGGGGCAGAAACCGGCGCACGGGUGCGUAACGCGUAUGCAACCUACCUUUCACAGGGGGAUAGCCCGAAGAAAUUUGGAUUAAUACCCCAUAAUAUUGCGAGAUGGCAUCAUUUUGCAAUUAAAACUAUGGUGGUGAAAGAUGGGCAUGCGUCCUAUUAGCUAGUUGGAGUGGUAACGGCACCCCAAGGCUACGAUAGGUAGGGGUCCUGAGAGGGAGAUCCCCCACACUGGUACUGAGACAGGGACCAGACUCCUACGGGAGGCAGCAGUGAGGAAUAUUGGUCAAUGGUCGGAAGACUGAACCAGCCAUGCCGCGUGCAGGAAGAAUGCCUUAUGGGUUGUAAACUGCUUUUAUAUGGGAAGAAUAAGGUGUACGAGUACAUUGA
rnacentral:rRNA from 1 species